rnacentral:rRNA from 1 species
GGCAAGUCGAGCGGAUGACGGGGGAGCUUGCUCCCCUGAUUCAGCGGCGGACGGGUGAGUAACACGUGGGCAACCUGCCUGUAAGAUCGGGAUAACUCCGGGAAACCGGGGCUAAUACCGGAUGGUUCCUUCCUCCGCAUGGAGGAAGGCGGAAAGACGGUUUCGGCUGUCACUUACAGAUGGGCCCGCGGCGCAUUAGCUAGUUGGUGGGGUAACGGCCCACCAAGGCAACGAUGCGUAGCCGACCUGAGAGGGUGAUCGGCCACACUGGGACUGAGACACGGCCCAGACUCCUACGGGAGGCAGCAGUAGGGAAUCUUCCGCAAUGGACGAAAGUCUGACGGAGCAACGCCGCGUGAGCGAAGAAGGCCUUCGGGUCGUAAAGCUCUGUUGUAAGGGAAGAACAAGCAUCGGUUAACUGCCGGGUGCCCUGACGGUACCUUACCAGAAAGCCACGGCUAACUACGUGCCAGCAGCCGCGGGUAAUACGUAGGUGGCAAGCGUUGUCCGGAAUUAUGGGGGCGUAAAGCGCGCGCAGGCGGUUUCUUAAGUCUGAUGUGAAAGCCCACGGGCUCAGCCGUGGAGGGGUCAUUGGAAAACUGGGGAGACUUGAGUGCAGAAGAGGAAAGCGGAAUUCCGCGUGUAGCGGUGAAAAUGCGUA